CGUGUGCUGGUGGAGCGGCAGUAACACGCUGGCCUCGCAUGUCGGAUGCCCGGAGUUCGAACUCCGGCACGA
rnacentral:tRNA from 1 species